CAGCCGCCACGGUAAUACGAAGGGUGCAAGCGUUAAUCGGAAUUACUGGGCGUAAAGGGUGCGUAGGCGGUUGUUUAAGUCUGUUGUGAAAUCCCCGGGCUCAACCUGGGAAUGGCAAUGGAAACUGGACGGCUAGAGUGUGUCAGAGGAUGGUGGAAUUCCCGGUGUAGCGGUGAAAUGCGUAGAGAUCGGGAGGAACAUCAGUGGCGAAGGCGACUAUCUGGGCCAACACUGACACUGAGGCACGAAAGCGUGGGGAGCAAACAGGAUUAGAGACCCGCGUAGUCCCUGUCUCUUAUAC
rnacentral:rRNA from 1 species